AGACAAGGAAAGCAUCGCCAGGGCGGAGCUGAGUUCUCCUCUGCACAGACUUCAGAGAUACAGCGAAGGCGGAGCAGUGUUCUCCUCAGCACAGACCCAGGCGGGCCGGGGGCACCGCGAGGGCGGAGCCGCGUUCUGCUCAGCACAGACCCGGGGGACACCGCUAAGGCAGAGCAGCCUUCUCCUCAGCACAGACCUUUGGGGCACUGCCUCGCUUUGGGACAACUCGGGACCGCAUAGACGGGAUCAUGGCACAAGUUGCAGUUUCCACCCUGCCAAUGGAAGAUGAGGAGUCCAUGGAAGAUGAGUAGUCCAUUGAAGAUGAGGAGUCUGUUGAAGAUGAUUCCGUGGAGAGCAGGAUGGUGGUAACAUUUCUCAUAUCAGCUCUCGAGUCCACGGACACUUGCUUCCCUUCUUCCUGCCCUCGGACAUGAGACUCCAGGUUCUUACGCCUUUGGACUCUGGGACUUGUACCAGCGGCUUCCCCGAGGCUCUCAGGCCCUCGGCCUCAUACUGAAGACUGCACUGCGGGCUUUCCUGGUUUUGAGGCUUUUGGACUUGGACUGAGCCACUACUAGCUUCUCUCUUUCCCUACCUGGCAGACAGCCUAUUGUGGGACUGCCUUCUAACCGUGUGAACCAAUUCUCUCUCGUAAUCUCCCUUAUACAUAUACGUGUAUCUUGUUGGUUCUGUCCCUCUGGAGAACCCUGACUCAUACAUUUUGUUUAUUUUUUCUCCAUUGCCCUUUCCUCUGCUUCUAGGCUUACCUAGACCACCACCAUUCUUUCCCCCUUUCUAAAGUAAAAGUUGUUUUUUUCUCACUAAAUGCAUGGUAUUCUGCCCGUUUUCCAUGGCUUCCCUCAGCCCUGCUCUGUUUAUUCUUGCUAUCUUAAGAGGAAAUCCCUGCCUCUUCCGUGGCUUUUCCCACUUGGCCUACAUACUGGUUUCUGUUGUUCUCAGAGACACACUGAGACCCUUCACAUCUCACUGUCACUUCUUGGAAGGGCUCUCUACCUCGUCUGCCUGCUGAGCAACCUCUUGGGGAGACGCAGGCCCUCUUGAGUCACUGAACUUGAGCUAUAUGGUGUUGGUAUGUUAAUUUAUCUUCUUAGACCACUUACCACUUCUUUAACUUCAAAAGAGGAGAAUAAGUAUUAUUUUCCAUGGUUGAUAUGAAGAGUAGAAAUAACUUAUACCAAAUGCAUUGCAGUUAAGUGAUAAUAAAUGGCCGUGAAUGCCCUUAUUAAUGUUAUUCUAUCAGUCUCGGCUCAGAUAGCAUCUGCUCUGUAAGCUCUGCUCUGAAUCAUAUCUGCUUCUUCUCUGGGUUCCUUGUGCUCUGUUCUUAACUACUUUAAAGCAGUAAUUGUUCUGAUUCUAAUUAGUGAUCCUUCCCAAUAAAAUUUUAAUUUUGUAGAUCUCUUCCCCCUACCCCUGCCGCAGCCUAACCAGUGUUUUCUUACUUUUUUGUGUACAAGCUACAUCACUGGUCUUUUAUUUGUGGCUAAAUAAAUGUUGUGUUAGAAGAGUAAAGAGUUCCCAGUUACAUGGGAUCUAUAGUUCUACAAAAUGAAUGUAUACAUAAUCCAUGUAAAUAUUUCACUUAUUUUAAAACAAUUUUUUAAUUUUUAAAUUAAAUUUAAUUUGUGCAUGUGUGUGAGACCAGAGUGAGACCAGAGAUUGCGGCGGUGAGGGGCGGUGGUCUCACCAUGUUGCCCAGGCUGGUCUUGAACUCCCCUUCAAGUGCCCCCCUCCUCACCUGGCCCCCCUCACCUUGCCUCCUCCCCCUCACUCCUAUGCCAGCCCCUGCCAUUCCCUACCCCCUCUGUUGACCGCAAGACUCAACAAGUGACUUGCUGAGCAAACCCUGCUGAGAAGAGGUCUGUUUAGGGACACAGGAGGCCAAGUACACAAAAAAGCAAAAGAACUAGCAUGCCUUUUUCAAUGGAUGUCUAUUUUACAGGGCUGGCUUCAGAUUAUUGUUAUAGCUUUAAAUAAAAGGACCGUUUUGUCAUCUCGGCCCAUGGCCUACAUUAUUUCUUUACUGUCCAUUGCCCUGGGCGCUUGACUAAUAAUUUAACAGCAAUUUUUUUUUUAAAUUUUAAAUCAUGAUUCAUUGCAUUGCUGUAAGAGUAAUUAGAGGUAAAUUAGGGCUUGAAACUGCCUGUAGUGGGUUACUUUCUGAGAUCUUAGUAUAAUUAUCAGGUGAGAGGGUGAAGUUUUAAUCAGCGCUAAGUGGGAUAGAAAUUCAAUGCACUGAAACUGUAGUGUCCAAUUCAGUAGGCGCUAGCCACCUGUAACUGUUGAGCACUUGAAAUCCUGGCUAGUCCUAAUUGAGAUGUGUUGUGUUAAAUAUACUGGAUUUUGUCAUUGGAGUGGGAAGAACAGCGUAGAAUAUCUGCUUGAUAAUUUUUUAUAUUGAUUACAUGUUAAAAUUAUUACUAUGAUUACUAUUUGGGACAUACUGAGUUAAGUAUAUUUAAAAUUAAUUUCACCUUUUAAUGGGGCUUACUAGUACAUUUAAAAUUACAUAUGUGGCUCACAUAUUUAUUGGACAGCACGGCUCUAGAAGUUUAGGAAGAAAUAAGAAAAAUAUUGAGAAUAGGUAGCAACAGUAGGAAGUUUGACCUCCUGUAAGACUGAUUCCAAUAAAACUAAUAGGUGAUAGUUUUAAUUGGCUUUUUCCUACUAGAAAAAGUAAGUGUACUUUACGUGUCUCUUUGUUCUCCCUCUUUCCCCUUCAAUUUAGUGGUUAGCGUGUAUUUACUAUA
rnacentral:lncRNA from 1 species